AAUUGUUUAUUUGCGGAGAAAAUUUGACAAUUGGAGAAGAAAACAACGCGUUGAAAAAACCCGCAUAUAUAAGUGGGACGGGGAUUUAUGGUAGAAUUGAAAAAAGCACGGCAACAAAUUAAAAAGAACGACGCGUAGUCUACGUCGGAUUAUAAGGAACGGCAUAAGAAGUCCAAGUCAUCUCUCUCUCUCUCUCUCUCUCUCUCUCUCUCUCUCUCUCUACAGAUUCUUCUUCAUUCUUCUUCUUCACGCGGUAUUCUUUUUACCAACUCAACACACAAACCCCUUAAAACCGAUCAGAUCAAUCAAAACGAACGGAUCAUAAUCAUAAUCCAAUCCAAUCCCAAAA
rnacentral:lncRNA from 1 species